CACGAACGCUGUCUGGUACUGCUCCAGAGACCACAGUUCGAUCGUGCAGGCAGCCGGGUGUCUGAGACAACUGUACAACCAGCAGCAUCACCCAAUUUAUGCUCAUCACUCCAACUCAGCCCUGCAGAUGUCAAAGACCAGCCAAAGACCCCAAUGCUAAGUUCAGCGAUGCCUCUUGAGAGGUUCUACUGAAGGCUAUCCAGGAGAGAAGAUUGCAGCUAGAGCAGAAGCGGAGGAAUAAAACCGUUCAGUCGAGAUGCAAUGUACUUUUCCAGUCAUCAAUCCAAAGACAGAGCACACAAAGCAGGGUCACGACCCCGAGCCAGGUCACAAGCUGACUUUUUGGGCUUACGAGGGAGCAAUGGCUGCUAUGGAUAUCCAACCAAGUUAUAACUGCCUUACAGCGAUCUUCCGAUAGUAACUGUUCUCACGGUCGGUCUGUGGCAAUUUUCAAGCCUCAAAAUGGAGUUUCAGAGGACAAAAUGUUUUGGAAGAAUUGUUCAAUGGAGAAGGGCAGUACGCAAAAACUGAUGUGGUUGGCUUCAGAUCAAAGGUCAUCA